rnacentral:rRNA from 1 species
AAGUAAAUACGAAGGGACAGCGCUAAUACCAAAACAUUCUUUAUCUCAUUGGCCGAAAUACAGGAGAGAGGCAGUCCUUCCACAACCCAUGUGAUCAGUCUAACACUCGAUUUGAAUCUAAGUGAUAUUCUUCACACAUGAGUAGCGGUCACACUAAAUUUCGAGUACUUCCCCACACUGCGGCAAACAGGAGAAAGACAGUCCUUCCACAACCCAUGCGAUCAGUCUAACACUCGAAAAAUCCGAGCGAUAUUCUUCACACAUGAGUAGCGGUCGUACUGACUACUCUCGAGUAUUUCCACACUGCGACAGCUAGAUCGAGACCUAGAUGUUGCCUACUUGAUUAAAAAUGUUCCAGUAUUGUAGCUGACCACAAACUGUUUUCAUCUUCGAUAGCCUAUUCAAAUAUACCCAGAGACUUUGCCACAAACACAACCAGACCAGCAUGUACUGUAUCUGCGCUGAGUUUGGAGCUAGAUCUCGAAACGCACGGAAAACAGGAAAUUCUCCUCGCCACAAGGGCGUUGAGUGAGUCCUGCCUCGCCGUACAAGUGCCUUUUAUCAUAUUAUUUCGCAUAGCGAAGCAAUAAGUCAAUCAUCCUCGCUGAUACAUAAGAAAUGU